GCCUUGUUGGAAGUGUUUUUUCUCCUACGCUUGAAGACAAUAUUUGACAAAACUGCUGUUUAUUCUGUUAUUUUCGUUAUUAUAUAAUGUAUAUAUUUACAGUAAGAUAAAAAACUAGAUUGGCAAGUUGUUCCAGAGAAUGUUUACAUCAUAAACAAAGAGGUUCUUGUCACUUUUUAACCAACGUGUGAGGCCAGAUUACUUUAGAAAUGAGGAUUAUAUUUGGAAUGGAACCUACUAAUGAAUAUGCAGCUUUGGUGGUUUAUGGUGUAAUAGUCUUAGUGGCAUUACAUGUUGCAGCACUCGGAUACUGGUUAUUUACAAUUAUUCGGCCACCAAAUGAGGCAAAUCUUCAAAGAACGAAUCCAAAAACUGAGAAGUUCCAUUAACAAGCAUUUGAUAUUUCCCAAGAAUUUCGCAAAAUUUAGCAAACUUAUUGUGUUAUUGUUGAAAAAUUAUAUUCCAAAGUACUAAUCUUAUGAUAUUUUGAGAAAAAAACACAGCAGUUUUUAAGAAGUGGACAAACCUUUUGGAGGAAAUUGCAAACUACGUAAAGACAGACAGACAUACUUGGAAUACAUAGGAAGAGAUAUUGGUCAAAAUUUAUAUAUUCCAUCAGAUAUUACAUAAUGGUUAUAGAUUUUAGGCUAUGAUUUUAAUCAUUAAGUUUGGUUAUCAGCUUGUUUUGAAAAAGACAUCAAUUAUUUAUAGAAUAUUUAAUCAUAUGUAAAUCGCAAAGUAUAUGGAAUUACAAGUAGUUUUCAUAUCUAUGUUAAUAAGCCUUUUCAUAGUUUAAGAAUCGAUUCCACUGCGCAUGCGAUUUUAUCCCGAAUUUC